CAGGCCUAACACAUGCAAGUCGAGCGGAAACGGCAGUAUUGAAGCUUCGGUGGAUUUACUGGACGUCGAGCGGCGGACGGGUGAGUAACGGCUGGAACCUGCCCUGACGAGGGGGAUAACCGUUGGAAACGACGGCUAAUACCGCAUAAUGUCUUGAUUCGUUAGAGUCAGGACCAAAGGUGGCCUCUACAUGUAAGCUAUCGCGUUGGGAUGGGCCCAGUUAGGAUUAGCUAGUUGGUAAGGUAAUGGCUUACCAAGGCAACGAUCCUUAGCUGGUUUGAGAGGAUGAUCAGCCACACUGGGACUGAGACACGGCCCAGACUCCUACGGGAGGCAGCAGUGGGGAAUAUUGCACAAUGGGGGAGACCCUGAUGCAGCCAUGCCGCGUGUGUGAAGAAGGCCUUCGGGUUGUAAAGCACUUUCAGCAGUGAGGAAGGUCGUGUACUUAAUACGUGCACGGCUUGACGUUAGCUGCAGAAGAAGCACCGGCUAACUCCGUGCCAGCAGCCGCGGUAAUACGGAGGGUGCGAGCGUUAAUCGGAAUUACUGGGCGUAAAGCGCAUGCAGGCGGUUUGUUAAGUCAGAUGUGAAAGCCCGGGGCUCAACCUCGGAACCGCAUUUGAAACUGGCAGGCUAGAGUCUUGUAGAG
rnacentral:rRNA from 1 species